UUUUAAGAUAACAAUUAGGUGACAGUCCUUUUCCAGAAAAAGUUAAAAGAAAGCGCUGCUAGACUAGAGUUUGUCUAUGCUUUACAGACAAUAUCUAUAUCCCUUCCAUGUUUGAACAGCUUCUAAGCUUUUGUUACAUGAACAACAUCCUUCAAACAUCUUCAAAAUUCGAAAUUUACUGUACACUUAAGGUUCUUUUUUAAAAAAAAUAAAAUAAAAUACAUCAGUCAAAUACAGCUAUGACAAAAACUCUGGAGAGAUUAAAAAUUAGGGCAAGUCCAGCUCCCACAAGCAGCAUGAAGUUGCUUUUAGCACUGUACUGUCAAACAAAACAAUCUGAAAGCAACAGUAAGAAUUUGAACAGCUUAACUAUUUAAAGCUAGUACACCUGCAACGAAGAGGAGAAAUAAGAAGUUAAUGCCAAACAGGUUUUUGAACUAUAGCCAAAACAAAAAUCUGAAAUUACCAUACACUAUAAUCCACGGUCAAUGAGAAUAUGUGGCCCACUAAUAAGCACCGUAAAAAAAAAUGAUGAAAAAGAAGGAAAUAAGAGUUAGCAAAUUGUAAAUGUAUGAAUCACUUGUCUAGUAAUAGAUUAAUUAGCAAGGAUGAGUCCUGUUAUUGACUUCCAAAACUGGAAAAGGUAAUCGCAUUCCUUGUAACUUUUGCAGUCACUUGGUACAUAAUUUCCUAUGUCCUGUGUGGUAACCCAACUUAGUAACCUGUUUACAACCACAGUAAUAACAGUUCUCUCAAAGUAAUAUCACUUCUUAAUAAGAGUUCCUAUAGCUAAAUUUAGAGUUUCAUUACUUUGAAGUAACUCUUUUUUCCCCUUGAUUCAUCCUAACAUACCCAAAAGAAAGAAAAAGAAAGAACAGGCUAACAGUGUGCUACAUGUCAAAAUUUGAUGUUAAAAGAAAAAUGUGUCAAAAAAUAUAAUCAAUCUCAUAAGAGUACACUUUUGAGAGAAUGGUAAUCCAAAAGUUCAGUCAUACCAUACCUCAUUCAGCUUUUCUUUACAUGCACUUCAAUAAUGUCUUCAUCUUCCAUGCCAAGGCUGUCCGGGGUUGCUGUUGGACUGACUUUGUCCCCAUCAAAAGAAAAUACUAUGCUUUGAAUAUUAUUAAGUUUAGCCUUAUCCAUAUACAUGUUGAAGAGCCGCUCAAACUUGUCAUCCUUGUACAUGCGAAAUUGUUUAAGUCCAUCCUUGUCUUGAACAGAAAUUACUAUUUUAGCUCUUCCACAUGGAGGCUUUAAUGGUUGCUCAGCAACAGCAUUCAAAGCAGCCUUCAGUGAACUACUAAGUUCUCUUUUUAUGGACUCUUCCACUGCUCGCAACACAUCCACACCUGAUUUUGCAAGUGACUCUAACUCCUGCUUCUUUAACCUCAACUCCUUUAUAGUGGAAUCCUCAACAAGCUGGUUCCGGAAAUCACAGCAAGCUUUGGGCGGAGGAGGUAGCCAAUCCUCCUCGUCCUUGUCUUCACAAUUCACUCUUACUAUUUCCAAGUCAUCAUCGUCAACUUCUUCAACAACAGAUUUUGGGUUCUGAAAAAUUUUGCUUCGUUUUGGACAGGGAACUGGCGACGCAUCAGACCCAUCAUCGUCUAGGCAAACAAUAUUAAGGGGCUGGACGCGCCUGUAAUCGAACAAAGGUUCGAGUUCUUCCAUGGAAUCAUCCAUUUGCAAGUAACGAACACCAAAAUCUCUCCUCUGUCGAGUAUCGCCAGCGUCAGUGUCCCGCCCAAGCACCAAAAGAUUAAUCUUGAUGCGAUUGAUUGGAAUACUAAAUGAUGGAGAAGGAAUUUAAAUCGAUUGUAAUGAGUAAAAGCACUUGAGCUUCUGGUUAGGCUUAGGCGGAUUCACUGCAAC
rnacentral:misc_RNA from 1 species